GUGAUUUUCCGGUUGAUCCUGCCGGAGGCCAUUGCUAUCGGUGUCCGAUUUAGCCAUGCGAGUUGUACGUAUAACGUAGCGAACUGCUCAGUAACACGUGGUCAAACUGCCCUACGGACUCGGAUAGCCUCGGGAAACUGAGGCUAAUCCUUGAUAGGGCUCCCAUCCUGGAACUGGAGGGAGCCUGAAACGCUCCGGCGCCGUAGGAUGUGACUGCGGCCGAUUAGGUAGACGGUGGGGUAACGGCCCACCGUGCCGAUAAUCGGUACGGGUUGUGAGAGCAAGAGCCCGGAGACGGACUCUGAGACACGAGUCCGGGCCCUACGGGGCGCAGCAGGCGCGAAACCUUUACACUGCACGCCAGUGCGAUAAGGGGACACCGAGUGCGAGGGCAUAGAGCCCUCGCUUUUCUGAACCGUAGGGAGGUUCAAGAAUAAGGGCUGGGCAAGAAUCGAAUUCCCG
rnacentral:rRNA from 1 species